rnacentral:lncRNA from 10 species
CAGCAGCUUCAGGUGUUUUCUGUCUACUGGGAGACUGCCUUUCCCCGGCGUUGGCUGGGACCAAUUAUCAUUUUAGAGACAGUUUAACAACUGCCUAACCAUCACCUGAUGGUCACCUGACAUUGUUGGGCUGGGAGUUCGCGGGGCUCUCCUGCUCUGCUCACCAUUGCCUAACUAUCUACUGUAACAAUACCACCUAGCAAAGCUGUGGCCGUGUCUUGCAGGAAGAAGAGUCCAGUAUGAUGUCUAAAGCAGAUCUGUUCUGAAC